AGGACACCACCAGGAGUGGAGCCUGCGGCUUAAUUUGACUCAACACGGGAAAACUCACCCGGCCCGGACACCGUAAGGAUUGACAGACUGAGAGCUCUUUCUUAAUUCGGUGGGUGGUGGUGCAUGGCCGUUCUUAGUUGGUGGAGCGAUUUGUCUGGUUAAUUCCGAUAACGGACGAGACUCUGGCCUAUUAAAUAGACGGUGUAUCGAAAAGUAUACCGCGCUUCUUAGAGGGACAAGCGGCGUCUAGCCGCAUGAAAUAGAGCAAUAACAGGUCUGUGAUGCCCUUAGAUGUCCGGGGCUGCACGCGCGCUACACUGAAAGAAUCAGAGUGCGUAAUACCUAGUUCGGAAGAACCGGGUAACCCAAGUAAAUUCUUUCGUGCUUGGGAUAGGGAAUUGCAAUUAUUUCCCUUAAACGAGGAAUUCCCAGUAAAUGCGGGUCAUAAGCUCGCGUUGAUUACGUCCCUGCCCUUUGUACACACCGCCCGUCGCUACUACCGAUUGGAUGACUUAGUGA
rnacentral:rRNA from 1 species